AACGAACGCUGGCGGCAGGCCUAACACAUGCAAGUCGAGCGCCCCGCAAGGGGAGCGGCGGACGGGUGAGUAACACGUGGGAAUUUUCCUCAAGGUACGGAACAACUCAGGGAAACUUGGGCUAAUACCGUAUGAUGCAGAGAUGCCAAAGAUUUAUCGCCUUGGGAUAAGCCCGCGUCAGAUUAGGUAGUUGGUGGGGUAAUGGCCUACCAAGCCUGUGAUCUGUAGCUGGUCCGAGAGGACGAUCAGCCACAUUGGGACUGUGACACGGCCCAAACUCCUACGGGAGGCAGCAGUGGGGAAUCUUGCGCAAUGGACGAAAGUCUGACGCAGCCAUGCCGCGUGAAUGAUGAAGGUCUUAGGAUUGUAAAGUUCUUUAGCCUGUGACGAUGAUGACGGUAACAGGAGGAUAAGCCCCGGCUAACUUCGUGCCAGCCGCCGCCGUAA
rnacentral:rRNA from 1 species